GACGAACGCUGGCGGCGUGCCUAAUACAUGCAAGUCGGACGCAGUUGCGAACGGGAGAGUAACGCGUAGGUCACUACCUAUUAGAGGGGGAUAACUAUUGGAAACGAUAGCUAAUACCGCAUACUAGUAGAUGGACCUGCGUUGUAUUAGCUAGUAGGUAGGGGAAUGGCCUACCUAGGCAAAGAUACAUAGCCGACUCUGAGGGGUGGACGGGCAACCUUGGGCCGGGAAACGGUCCCGACUCCUACCGGGGGCAGCCAGAGGGAAACUUCGGCAAAGGGGGGAACCCUGGCCGAGCAAAGCCGCGUGAGUGGAGAAGGGUUUCGGAUCGGAAAGGUCUGUUGUUAAGGAAGCGGUACUUGACCAGUAAGUGACGGCUAACUACGUGCCAGCAGCCGCGGUAAUAC
rnacentral:rRNA from 1 species